UACGUAGGGUGCAAGCGUUGUCCGGAAUUAUUGGGCGUAAAGAGCUCGUAGGCGGUCUGUCGCGUCUGCUGUGAAAACUCAGGGCUUAACCCUGAGCUUGCAGUGGGUACGGGCAGACUAGAGUGCGGUAGGGGGAGACUGGAAUUCCUGGUGUAGCGGUGAAAUGCGCAGAUAUCAGGAGGAACACCGGUGGCGAAGGCGGGUCUCUGGGCCGUAACUGACGCUGGAGGAGCGAAAGCAUGGGAGCGAACAGG
rnacentral:rRNA from 1 species